rnacentral:rRNA from 1 species
AUACUGCAGUCGAACGCUUCUUUUUCCACCGGAGCUUGCUCCACCGGAAAAAGAGGAGUGGCGAACGGGUGAGUAACACGUGGGUAACCUGCCCAUCAGAAGGGGAUAACACUUGGAAACAGGUGCUAAUACCGUAUAACAAUCGAAACCGCAUGGUUUUGAUUUGAAAGGCGCUUUCGGGUGUCGCUGAUGGAUGGACCCGCGGUGCAUUAGCUAGUUGGUGAGGUAACGGCUCACCAAGGCGACGAUGCAUAGCCGACCUGAGAGGGUGAUCGGCCACAUUGGGACUGAGACACGGCCCAAACUCCUACGGGAGGCAGCAGUAGGGAAUCUUCGGCAAUGGACGAAAGUCUGACCGAGCAACGCCGCGUGAGUGAAGAAGGUUUUCGGAUCGUAAAACUCUGUUGUUAGAGAAGAACAAGGAUGAGAGUAACUGUUCAUCCCUUGACGGUAUCUAACCAGAAAGCCACGGCUAACUACGUGCCAGCAGCCGCGGUAAUACGUAGGUGGCAAGCGUUGUCCGGAUUUAUUGGGCGUAAAGCGAGCGCAGGCGGUUUCUUAAGUCUGAUGUGAAAGCCCCCGGCUCAACCGGGGAGGGUCAUUGGAAACUGGGAGACUUGAGUGCAGAAGAGGAGAGUGGAAUUCCAUGUGUAGCGGUGAAAUGCGUAGAUAUAUGGAGGAACACCAGUGGCGAAGGCGGCUCUCUGGUCUGUAACUGACGCUGAGGCUCGAAAGCGUGGGGAGCAAACAGGAUUAGAUACCCUGGUAGUCCACGCCGUAAACGAUGAGUGCUAAGUGUUGGAGGGUUUCCGCCCUUCAGUGCUGCAGCUAACGCAUUAAGCACUCCGCCUGGGGAGUACGACCGCAAGGUUGAAACUCAAAGGAAUUGACGGGGGCCCGCACAAGCGGUGGAGCAUGU